rnacentral:rRNA from 1 species
GGUAGUCCACGCCGUAAACGUUGGGAACUAGGUGUGGGCUCCAUUCCACGGAGUCUGUGCCGCAGCUAACGCAUUAAGUUCCCCGCCUGGGGAGUACGGCCGCAAGGCUAAAACUCAAAGGAAUUGACGGGGCCCGCACAAGCGGCGGAGCAUGUGGCUUAAUUCGAUGCAACGCGAAGAACCUUACCUGGGCUUGACAUGCAGGGAAAUCUCGUAGAGAUACGGGGGUCCGUAAGGGCCUUGCACAGGUGGUGCAUGGCUGUCGUCAGCUCGUGUCGUGAGAUGUUGGGUUAAG